UGGGGAAUAUUGGACAAUGGGCGCAAGCCUGAUCCAGCCAUACCGCGUGGGUGAAGAAGGCCUUCGGGUUGUAAAGCCCUUUUGUUGGGAAAGAAAACUUGCGGGCUAAUACCCAGCAAGUCUGACGGUACCCAAAGAAUAAGCACCGGCUAACUUCGUGCCAGCAGCCGCGGUAAUACGAAGGGUGCAAGCGUUACUCGGAAUUACUGGGCGUAAAGCGUGCGUAGGUGGUUGUUUAAGUCUGUCGUGAAAGCCCUGGGCUCAACCUGGGAAUUGCGAUGGAUACUGGGCGACUAGAGUGUGGUAGAGGAUAGUGGAAUUUCCGGUGUAGCAGUGAAAUGCGUAGAGAUCGGAAGGAACAUCUGUGGCGAAGGCGACUAUCUGGGCCAACACUGACACUGAGGCACGAAAGCGUGGGGAGCAAACAGG
rnacentral:rRNA from 1 species